rnacentral:piRNA from 1 species
UGCCGUCUUCAGGAUCUGUGAGGGACCGGUU